rnacentral:pre_miRNA from 1 species
AAAGUACUCCCUCCAUCCCAAAAUUCUUGUCUUAGAUUUGUCUAGAUAUGGAUGUAUCAAGUCACAUUUUAGUAUUAGAUACAUCCGUAUCUAGACAAAUCUAAGACAAGAAAUUUGGGACAGAGGGAGUAGCUG